AGGGACUUGCAGUGGAUGGCAAUAAGGAAUAAUAGUCACCCAGGUGGUGUAUGGCCAAUCAAACCGCAUAAGGUGUGAGAUCAUCAAGGCAAUGAAGUGUUGGUCUCCACACACGUUGGGCUCUGGUGCUGGUAGUCCUGACUACAUUCUGUCACCACCACAGUGCUCCAGAGGGAUUGAGAGACUCAAGCCCUUCCUUUGCUCACUCCCCAAAAGAAGAAAACAGACACUGCACAGAGCAUCAUGUGGACUGCGUGGGAUUAUAGCACUUGGAUGUCACUGACGAUAUCUCUUAAAGACUCAGGAAAGAGUGACUCGUUCACAGUUGCCAGGAAAUUAGUGGUUGUUCUCACUUGAUGAUGAAGGACGGCCAUUUCCAACUCUACUGUCUUCCAGAGUACAGCUACAUGCAGAAGAUUAGUGUACUCAUUAAAUGUAAAUGAAUCAAAAUUCAAGCUUUUCCAAUUC
rnacentral:lncRNA from 1 species